rnacentral:rRNA from 1 species
UACGUAGGGGGGCAAGCGUUGUCCGGAAUCAUUGGGCGUAAAGCGCGCGUAGGCGGCCCGGUAAGUCCGCUCUGAAAGUCCAGGGCUCAACCCUGGAAAGCGGGUGGAUACUGCCGGGCUAGAGUCCGGAAGAGGCGAGUGGAAUUCCUGGUGUAGCGGUGGAAUGCGCAGAUAUCAGGAGGAACACCCAUAGCGAAGGCAGCUCGCUGGGACGUUACUGACGCUGAGACGCGAAAGCGUGGGGAGCAAACAGG